UUCCGGUUGAUCCCGCCGGAGGCCACUGCUAUCGGGGUUUGACUAAGCCAUGCGAGUCGAGAGGUGUAAGACCUCGGCGUACUGCUCAGUAACACGUGGACAAUCUGCCCUGAAGUGGAGGAUAAUCCCGGGAAACUGGGGGUAAUACUCCAUAGUUCGUGCUGACUGGAAUGUUAUGCGAACGAAAGAUCCGUCGCUUCAGGAUGAGUCUGCGGCCGAUUAGGUAGUUGUUGGGGUAACGGCCCAACAAGCCCGUCAUCGGUACGGGUUGUGGGAGCAAGAGCCCGGAGAUGGAUUCUGAGACACGAAUCCAGGCCCUACGGGGCGCAGCAGGCGCGAAAACUUUACCAUGCGGGCAACCGUGAUAAGGAAACCCCGAGUGCCAGCACAGGCUGGCUGUCCGCCAGUGUAAAUAACUGGUGAAGAAAGGGCCGGGCAAGACCGGUGCCAGCCGCCGCGGUAAUACCGGCGGCUCGAGUGGUGGCCACUAUUACUGGGCUUAAAGGGUCCGUAGCUUGAUAUGCAAGUCUCUUGAGAAAUCCGCCAGCUUAACUGGUGGGCGUUCAGGGGAAACUGCAUUUCUAGGGACCGGGAGAGGUGAGAGGUACUGCCGGGGUAGGAGUGAAAUCCUGUAAUCCCGGUGGGACCACCUAUGGCGAAGGCAUCUCACCAGAACGGGUCCGACAGUGAGGGACGAAAGCUGGGGGAGCAAACCGGAUUAGAUACCCGGGUAGUCCCAGCUGUAAACGAUGCGCGUUAGGUGUGUCAGUGACCACGUGUCACUGAGGUGCCGAAGGGAAACCGUGAAACGCGCCGCCUGGGGAGUACGGUCGCAAGGCUGAAACUUAAAGGAAUUGGCGGGGGAGCACCACAACGGGUGGAGCCUGCGGUUUAAUCGGACUCAACGCCGGGAAUCUCACCGGAUAAGACAGCUGAAUGAUAGUCGGGAUGAAGACUCUACUUGACUAGCUGAGAGGAGGUGCAUGGCC
rnacentral:rRNA from 1 species